rnacentral:rRNA from 1 species
AUUGAACGCUGGCGGCAUGCCUUACACAUGCAAGUCGAACGGUAACGGACCUUCGGGUGCCGACGAGUGGCGAACGGGUGAGUAAUGCAUCGGAACGUACCCAUCAGUGUGGGAUAACUCCCCGAAAGGAGGGCUAAUACCGCAUAUUCUGUGCGAAGGACAGCGGGGGACCGCAAGGCCUCGCGCGGAUGGAGCGGCGGAUGGCAGAUUAGCUAGUUGGUGGGGUAAAGGCCUACCAAGGCGACGAUCUGUAGCGGGUCUGAGAGGAUGAUCCGCCACACUGGGACUGAGACACGGCCCAGACUCCUACGGGAGGCAGCAGUGGGGAAUUUUGGACAAUGGGGGCAACCCUGAUCCAGCCAUGCCGCGUGAGUGAAGAAGGCCUUCGGGUUGUAAAGCUCUUUCGGCCGGGAAGAAAUCGCAUCUCCUAAUACGGGGUGUGGAUGACGGUACCGGAAUAAGAAGCACCGGCUAACUACGUGCCAGCCGCCGCAGUAACAC